rnacentral:rRNA from 1 species
GACAGAGGGUGCAAACGUUGUUCGGAAUUACUGGGCGUAAAGCGAGUGUAGGCGGUCUGAAAAGUCGGGUGUGAAAGCCCCGGGCUCAACCCGGGAAGUGCACUCGAAACUGCAAAGCUAGAGUCUCGGAGAGGAUCGUGGAAUUCUCGGUGUAGAGGUGAAAUUCGUAGAUAUCGAGAGGAACACCGGUGGCGAAGGCGGCGAUCUGGACGAUGACUGACGCUGAGACGCGAAAGCGUGGGAAGCAAACAGG